ensembl:lncRNA
GCCCCGCCCCCCAGCCCCGCCAGGCGCGCAGCGAGGCGGGGAGGCCGGGCGGCCGCACAUGACGGACAAGUCGCCGCGCUCGGCCCGUGCGCGCUGGUCCCGCGCCGGUCCCGCUCUCGGCCAAUCCCAGACGCGUAUCGCGAGACAGAGAAAAGCGAUUGGAUGCUGCCGACGUGGAGGGGGUGGGAGCAGAAGGGGGCUCUGCCUUCUCAUUCGCCUUUGAUCUAGGCCCUCACUGUAGCGGACCUUGGGCUUAGGGGCCGUGUUUAGGUGUUUCACGUGGAAACCGCUUUGGGUUCCUGGGCUGUGGCUGGGAGGCUGCAGAGAGUCGUCAGGGGCCUUUGAGUCAUAAGCCCUGUAAUGCAUAAUUGUAUAUCCUAGUUGUAGGUUCUUCUGGUUGUUCUAGUUCUUCUGUGUGGGACACUGCCUCGGCAUGGCUUGAUGAGCAGUGCUAGGUCUGCGCCCAGGAUAUGAACCCAUGAACCCUGGGCUACAAAAGUGGAGCGUGGGAACUUAACCACUGGGCCACAGCCCAGCCCCCUUCAGGUGUAUUCUUGUUUGCCGGAGAUAGUUUAGUAUAGUGGAAAAAAGUAUUGGACGAGGAGUCAGCAUAUCUGAGUUUAGACCCAGCUUCUAGGACACUUUUGUGGAUAUUAAAUUACUCUGGUACUGUGUAAUUUAGAGCAAUCCCUUAAUCUGUCGGUGCCAAUCUUCCCCUUCUCCUCACUGGGAAUAAGAAUUUCUCUCUUUUCACCAUGUAAGAUAACAUUGAUAAAGUAAGGUGAAAAUACUUUGAAAAUGGAAACAAUUGUACAAAUUAAACGUGUAUUUUUUGCAUAAGUCAGCAUAUGAAUAUAAGAAUUUACAAAUGAGUCAUAGAUAAUAACACUAUAAAUUUCAACAUAAGAUUUGUUUACUUCCUGAGUACAUGCGAAGUAAUACAUUUAAAAAUAAAAUACAUACAAUUUCCAAUGAUUAUAUACUCAUUGAAUACUGACUUUGUGUUUAGCAAUGUUCGGUUUGCUCAAGCAAAAUCAGAUGUAUGGCAGGAUAAAUCUGAUAAAGGAACUAAUAUUUGAUGAGCAUUUAUAUAUGCCCAGCGCUUUGCUUAUAUCAUCUCAUCUAAUUUUCACAACAACUCUAUGAAGUACAUCUUGUUACCCCAUUUUUCCAGUGAAGAUUCUGAGGCUCAAAAGUGAGUUAAUUGACCUACAUCACAGCUAGUAAAUGAGAGAGGGUAUUUACACCAAGGCUUUAUUGAGCUUAAAAGCCUGAGCUCUUGGCAUUGUAUGAUGAUGGCACCCUCUUGAUGCUGAAGAUGCUUAUAAUCUAACUUAAGAAACAAGAUGAACACAAUGAUCAGCAAUCAUUAAUAUUAAAAAAGCUGAAUUAAUGGCAUAAAGCAAGUGCUAGAAAAGUUUAGAAAGACAGAGUUAAGUGAGUUAAGGCAGUAAGGGAAGACUUCGUGAAGGAAGGGGACCUUAAGUCGGGUCUUGAAGUACAAAAAUGCAUUUGGAUAGCGGAAAGGGAGACAACACUGGGCGAAGAUACAGAGGCUAACGAGCAGGGCUGUCUGUGGAGAUGGACCACUCAGGAGGUCAAAGAAGAACCUUCUUUUUUCUAAGGCUACAACUUGUGUGCAAAAGGCGCUGGCUGGAGGAGAUUUGAUUUACCCUCUGAGGACUUCAAAGGAAUCUGAACCAAACCCGAUACUCAAGUCUCUUAUCCAGUGUGCCUGGACAACUGAAAAGGAGUCUGCGGGAAUUAAACAGAAAAGUCUAUUUAAAAGGAUAACGAGGAGCUCAUGGGACUAUUGGAGAUCCGAAGAACCAGAUUCAAGUCUCCUUUGGCUUGAUUUAUGAGAACCAUCUGAAGAAAUUUGACAAUGGUGGUGUUUUGGAGAUGUGCCUUGGUUUCUAACUUGGCUGAUUGUGCUUUGAAGUUUCAAAAGGACACAGAGGAGGCCCUAGAAGAUGUCAACAGCACAAGUGGAGAAGCCAGAUCCCAAAUCACCAGGGAAGGCCAGCUGGCAAAACUUGUUUGGACUAUGAUAGAAUUUGGAAAAACAAUUUGGAGAAAAAAAUUAUAUCAUUCAACAGAUUUUGCUUUUGUUGUUGUUUUGUGGGAUUUAAAAAAAAAUUCUAAUCAGACUUGCAAAGGUGUGUUAAGAAUAAACAAUAAAUGGAAUACUGAGAUUGUAAGAUAUCUUUUAACCUAUCAAAAUCUUCAAGAAACAGUCUCAAAGAUUUAGAAGAAACAGAGGAAACUCUGACAACAGCCCUUGAAGUAUCUUACAGAAAUAAUUUUCCAUAUAUGAAAAGUUUUAAAAUGAAAUGCUUAUGUUUGUGAUCUUAAAGUACGCUAGUAUAGAAAAUCUUUCUAAUUCCACUAAAAGUUUGAAAGCAAAAUGUUUUUAAAUUUCUUUCCAAACUAUAUUAGUGUAUUUAAUUGAAAUAAUUUCAAUUUUUUAGGGAAC